rnacentral:rRNA from 1 species
AUGAAUGCAUCACCUUUCAAAACCCUAGUGUGGAAUGUGAGGGGCCUUAAUAGCCCGGCGCGUCGAAGUGCAAUCUAUCAGGUGGUUAGCUCGGUUGCGCCGAGCAUUGUGUGUCUCCAGGAGACAAAAAUGGAACUUGUAACGACAGAGGUGGUCGCCCACUGUCUUGGAAAUAAACUCGAGAGCUUCUACUACCUGCUCGCGCGAGGAACGAGGGGCGGCAUUCUCCUUGCUUGGGAUGCUACCGUGGUGAAACUUUCCAACCCGCACUACGCGACGAAUGCGCUCACCGCGCUAGUCACGCACAUUGGUGGCUCACAAUGGUGGAUGACAGGAGUAUACGGCCCACAGCAAGAUCAAGACAAAGUGGAAUUCAUGCAAGAAUUGGUGGACAUUCGCGAGCUGACAGCCGGACCAUGGACUGUGAUGGGGGAUUUCAACCUAUUGGUUAACCCAGAGGACAAAAACAACACACUUGUGAACAGACGAAUGAUGGCGCGGUUCCGUGCAAAGCUUAAUAACCUCAAACUCAAAGAGGUUUAUUUGAACGGGCGGAGAUACACUUGGUCUAAUGAGCGGACACAAACGACAAUGGAGAAGAUUGACCGUGUCUUCACCACGGCAACUUGGGAGGAGCUUUACCCGACCUGUCAGCUCACAGCACUAGGCUCCUCAAUCUCUGACCACUGUCCAUUGCUACUGGACCUAGAGGCCGAGCUGCACAUGGGCAAGCGCUUCAAGUUUGAGGCUUUCUGGACAAGAGCCGAGGGAUUCAUGCAAAAGGUGGAGGAGUUGUGGAACUCUGUGCGUAGAGAAGAAAGCCCCUAUGUUACCCUUGAUCUCAAGCUGCGAGCCACGACAAAGGGCGUGAAGAAGUGGAGCGACAGGUGGAUAGGCAACGUUAAACUGCAAAUUGGAAUUGCCAUGGGGGUAAUCGCUCGCCUGGAUGCAGCAAUGGACACAAGAACACUCUCGCCACAAGAAUGA